AGCUUUGCAGAGGGCCUACAGCCGUGGCAGGACACUCUGGUGGGGACCACAGACGCAGCCUGUCACGAGGCUGUGAAGUGGGUGACUAACCUGCAUGCUCAGGGGAGCACCUCAGUCUUGCAAGCAUUGCUGGCAAGUUCCACCGCCAAGCCUGACCCAGUGGCAAAGCAGAAAUACCAUCGCCCCUAUCCUGACAUUGCGCCAUGCUUUGCAGUUUACAAAGAGCACUUUAGAAUUUACUGUUAAAUCAUUUCAUCUUCCCAGCAACCCAGUGAGGAUGAGAUUCUCGCUGUUCUCACUUUAUAGAUGAAGACACAGAGGCCCAGAGAGGUUAAGUGACUUGCUUGGGGUUAACCAGCUAGGAAGUGGGCUGAGCUCUUUCUCCUAAACCUCAGCAGCUUCCUGGUCUGUCAUAGGCUGAAAGAGGAGGCUCUCAGUCUUAAUGACAAGUCGGUGAGAUCCAACCAGACUUGGGGACAGCAGGCCAGUGGUUUCUGAGUCCUGGUUGGCCCCUCUUCUGAGCCAGACAACCUACAUGCUCUCUCAGAAAGCUCUCAGUUUUCCUGAUGUGGAAGGACUGUACCUCCUGACGGACGGGAAGCCAGACACAAGCUGCAGCCUUAUCCUCAGUGAAGUGCAAAGACUCACGGAGAAGAGAGACGUGAAAGUGCACACCGUCUCCCUGAACUGCUCAGACAGGACUCCAUGCUGCCACUAUUUGAAGGAGAUGAUUUAAGGAGAUUGGCCCAGGAGAUCACCAAGGCCAGAAGCUUCCUCUGGCAGGCCCAGUCCUUCAGGUCCCAACUCCAGAAGAAAAACAACACAGAACCGAAGGUCGCUCCGUUUUAGAAAAGUGUUCUCAGGUGCGACGCAGACUCGCCAUCAGCCCCUCUUGGAGGAAGAAGAAACAAGUGAGCCUCACCGCCACCCACUGCCCCUGCUCAUCUGAACUGAACUGAAGUCUGCUCUGGAGCCCAGUCCAGAGCGAAUGCUCAGCUCAAGCAUGUGAAAAUCGGGCUGGAGCUGCUGGGCCAGCCCUACUGUGUACAUAUGAAAUGACUGUGUCAUGUGUUAUGUCAGCUGGGCUCAUUUCUAAGACAGGAAAAAUUGCUUUUAUUUAAUUAAUAGGAUCAAAGUUACUUUUAAAUGGAUGUGAUCAUUGCUGUGUGUGUGUGUGUCUCUGUGUAAAUUUUUGGUGU